rnacentral:rRNA from 1 species
UACAGGGGGGGCAAGCGUUGUUCGGAAUUACUGGGCGUAAAGGGGUUGUAGGCGCCAACUAAGUCCGACGUGAAAUCCCAAAGCUUAACUUUGGAACUGCGUCGGAUACUGGGAUGGCUUGAAUUCGGGAGAGGGAUGCAGAAUUCCAGGUGGUAGCGGUGAAAUGCGUAGAUAUCGUGGAGGAAUACCGGUGGCGAAGGCGGCAUCCUGGACCGACAUUGACGCUGAAAACCGAAAGCUAGGGGAGCAAACGGGG